rnacentral:lncRNA from 1 species
GAAAUUAAUGGUUGAUUAAUGAUGAUCAUUAUAUGAGUUGGUCACAUCUUAGUUUUGCCUUUUUCUAACCUGUUUGGAUGUUUUUUGAUAUGUGAUGAUGUGCUAACUUGUUAUUUUGCUUUUCAUUUUUGUCAUUUGUAGAUGACUGAUCCUAUGUGGGGGAGAAUGAAAAACCUAAGAAUGUUGCCUCGGAGAAAUUUUUGGUUUGGAGCAUGACUGACCAACGUACGAUUGG